rnacentral:rRNA from 1 species
GACACAGGUGCUGCAUGGCUGUCGUCAGCUCGUGUCGUGAGAUGUUGGGUUAAGUCCCGUAACGAGCGCAACCCUUGUCCUUAGUUACCAGCACGUUAUGGUGGGCACUCUAAGGAGACUGCCGGUGGACAAACCGGAGGAAGGUGGGGAGUGACGUCAAGUCAUCAUGGCCCUUACGGCCUGGGCUACACACGUGCUACAAUGGUCGGUACAAAGGGUUGCCAAGCCGCGAGGUGGAGCUAAUCCCAUAAAACCGAUCGUAGUCCGGAUCGCAGUCUGCAACUCGACUGCGUGAAGUCGGAAUCGCUAGUAAUCGUGAAUCAGAAUGUCACGGUGAAUACGUUCCCGGGCCUU